rnacentral:rRNA from 1 species
GACGAACGCUGGCGGCGUGCCUAACACAUGCAAGUCGAACGAAGUGGCGAACGGGUGAGUAAUACGUGAGUAACCUGCCCUCCUUUUUGGGAUAAGCCUUGGAAACGGGGUCUAAUACCGAAUACUUGGGGAUGGGCUCGGUGCCUAUUGGCUGGGUGGUGGGGUGAUGGGCUACCACGGCGGUGACGGGUAGCCGGCCUGAGCGGGUGACCGGCGACAUUGGGACGGAGCUGCGUCCCAGAGGCGUCCGGGAGGGGGAAGUGGGGGAAAUUGCGCAAAGGCCGAAGGCCUGAUGCAGCGAGGCUGCGUGGGGGAUGAGGGCUGUCGGGUUGUAAACAUCUUUCGCUAUCGAACGGGUAGGUGGAGAAGAAGCGCCGGCUAACUACGUGCCAGCAGCCGCGGUAAUAC